UACGGGGGGGGCAAGCGUUGUUCGGAAUUACUGGGCGUAAAGGGCUCGUAGGCGGCCAACUAAGUCAGACGUGAAAUCCCUCGGCUUAACCGGGGAACUGCGUCUGAUACUGGAUGGCUAGAGGUUGGGAGAGGGAUGCGGAAUUCCAGGUGUAGCGGUGAAAUUCGUAGAUAUUCGGAAGAACACCAGUGGCGAAGGCGACUCACUGGACACAUAUUGACGCUGAGGUGCGAAAGCGUGGGGAGCAAACAGG
rnacentral:rRNA from 1 species